rnacentral:rRNA from 1 species
AACGAACGCUGGCGGCAUGCCUAACACAUGCAAGUCGAACGAGACCUUCGGGUCUAGUGGCGCACGGGGGCGUAACGCGUGGGAACCUGCCCUUAGGUUCGGAAUAACUCCCUGAAAGGGGUGCUAAUACCGGAUAAUGUCUUCGGACCAAAGAUUUAUGGCUUUUGGAUGGGCCCGCGUUGGAUUAGCUGGUUGGUAGGGUAAAAGCAUACCAAGGAGACGAUCCAUAGCUGGUCUGAGAGGAUGAUACGCCACACUGGGACUGAGACACGGCCCAGACUCCGACGGGAGGGAGCAGUGGGGAAUAUAAGACGAUGAGGGAAGGCGUAAUCAAGCAAUGCCGGGUGAGUGAUGAAGGCGUUAGGGUUGUAAAGCUCUUUUAGACGGGAUGAUAAUGACAGUACCGGGAGAAUAAGCACCGGCUAACUACGUG